GGGAAUCUUAGACCAAUGGGGAAACCCUGAUCUAGCCAUGCCGCGUGACCGAUAAGGCCUUAGGUUUGUAAAGCUCUUUCAGCUGGGAAGAUAAUGACGGUACCAGCAGAAGAAGCCCCGGCUAACUCCGUGCCAGCAGCCGCGGUAAUACGGAGGGGGCUAGCGUUGUUCGAAUUACUGGGCGUAAAGCGCACGUAGGCGGAUUGAAAAGUUGGGGGUGAAAUCCCGGGGCUCAACCUCGGAACUGCCUCCAAAACUAUCAGUCUUGAGUUCGAGAGAGGUGAGUGGAAUUCCGAGUGUAGAGGUGAAUUCGUAGAUAUUCGGAGGAACACCAGUGGCGAAGGCGGCUCACUGGCUCGAUACUGACGCUGAGGUGCGAAAGCGUGGGGAGCACACAGGAUUAGAUACCCUGGUAGUCCACGCCGUAAACGAUGAAUGCCAGUCGUCGGUGCGCAUGCGUAUCGGUGACACACCUAACGGAUUAAGCAUUCCGCU
rnacentral:rRNA from 1 species